GGACCGGCUGGUGGCGCCAGGCAGUGCCAAGCACCCCUGGCAGCCCUGCAGAGGGUUCUCAAAUCCAGAUUUCAUUCUGCAGUCCCGGCAGUGUUUUGACGACUGCCUCACUAAAGGAAGCUAAAAGCUGUGCUGAUGCCUCCCAGACGAGCCUCGUUGGAAGCACAGAACCUUCACGGCUCGGAGCCGCUGACACCGUGACAAAGGGAGCCCUGCUCAGGAGAAAGAGCAAAUGAGAGGCAGUUGCACUUUUUCAGGUGUCAGGCUGGAGGAAGCCACUUGAAGAUGAAUCUACCUCUGCCUUAGGAUUGCCUGAUGGCCUGUGCCAUUCCAUGUUAUAUCUACUGAUUUGCUCCCUGUAUUCAAAGAUUUUUUUUUUUUACUUAAUUCUCUCUUACUGACCCUGAGAGUGACCAUAUUUUUAACCAAUUUGGUCUUCAGCCUCAAAACUUAGCUCUUUCCUUUUGUGGUCCCCGAAUCCUAUCACGUGUCAUGGUGGCUGUGAAGAUGUUUGCCAAGCCUGCUGAGAAGGCUCAUCUGUGGCAUCCAAAAGCAGAGAUUUCAACUCUGGACCCCUGUGACCUGCCUUUGUAAUUAUGGAUACCCAGCACUGUUUUGAAAUAUCAGUGGACAUCCAGUUUUUAAAAGCCCUCAGAGCUUUGGGAGACACCCCUUUAUCUCUCUGGCAUGUCAGAGAACCGAUUCAACCCUUCUCAUCUCCUCCUCCUUCCCUCUCUUGGGCCAUCAGGAUGCGGCAGCAACUCACUGUGCAUGUUUUUACAGCUCUUCUCCAGUAAUGCUGCCAUUUCCACUGCAGACCACAGGAUAAAAGGACCGCUUCACCGUGGCCCAGGAUACCCUUUUAAGUAGGAGGUUGCAUGGGCUUGAUCCACAAUGACUCAGCUUUCAGCCAUCGCAAUUGUGCUAUGCUCAGCUGUCAAGUGUGUUUUAAAUCUCCUACUACAUUUUUUUUAAAGUUUUUCUGCCAUCCUUUGUACUCCUUUUUAAAAACUUAUCCAGGAAGUGGUAUGAAAUCUCCAGUACUUCUCGGCACACACAGAUGCGUCUUUUUCUGUUUAUUGUUUUCCCUCUGAGAGUUGUAGUGUUCAGUUGGUUACACCAAGAGAAGUACUUGGCUGGGACUGUUAAAAAAAGUGUCACAAAGCAGCACCAAGGAGAAAACAACACUGUUUUCUGAAUGUUCGUGCUUGGAAUUUCUUUACUACAGGGAAAAUGAGAUGGGGGAGGGCCCUUCUUAUCUAUUUUCAGACAGACAUCUCACAAAUGCAUAAAAAAUAUAAUCCUUUUAGUUCCACUGGCCUUGUAGUUGUUGUAAAUGCAUCUUAAAUUCCUAAAUGAUUUUUAAAUUACAUUAUGUCUUUCAGCGGUGUAGGCUUUGAUUUCUGAGGCUGUUAGCCAGAUAUAGGCUUUAACAAACACUCAUGUUCUUUUGUCUUUAUGUCUUUAUUUUAAAAUUAUAUAUAUACAUAUAUAUAUGUAUGUAUGUAUGUAUAAGUAUCCAGUGAGUAUAAGAAAAAUAUCAAAGAGAAGAAUUUUUCUCAUUCUGUCUUCAAAUAGGUAAUACUUCACAAAUUGAUGUAUGCUCAUGGACAAUAGCAGGUAAUGCUUUUGAAACUGAAAGAUUUGUCUCUGAGUUCCAACAAUUGUCUUAGCAGACAGAGUUUCAAGGUCAUCAAAUCUGUAUCCAUUGGUGGCAUAGAAGAUGUCAAUCACAUUGCCUUUGAAUCAGAACCUAUCAUUGUCAAUACAGAUAAACUGCAGGUUAACUCUCUCUCUGUCUCGCCCCUGGAAACUAGGCUUAAUGUUUUGCCAAAAAUUGGGUAUUUGCUCUUGACCCUAGAGCAAAGGCUCUCACUUCAACAAAACUUUUCACUACUCUCCAGAAGAGCCAAGCCUCAUACUGAUGAGAAGAAGAGAAGGAAGAGAAAUGGGAAGCCGAUCAUUAAAAUAUUUUCCUGCAAGGGGAAGAAAACAACAAUUCUUAAGUGCCAAUAUGAGACAGGCACUAUACUGAGCACUUUGGAUGUGGUAUCUGUUUACAUUUAUUUGAAUAAUAAUCAGCAUAUAGAAAUUCAACAUAGAUUCUGCACCAUUUCUUUCAGUCCUUCUGGAUGGUUUUUCAUUUGUAUUUGUAAUAACUUGAAAGUUACUUAAUCUCUCAUUAAGUUGCUGAGGUAUGCUUUUUAACAUAAUAUUUGCAUAGGCCAUGAACCAGAAUGAAUAAAAGGAAAAUCCCAAGAUCUAGAACAUUGUUUUAGAAUUGAUGCCUACCCAACACUUUGUCCUGAGUUUACUUAGCAUAUAGAAAGGAGUUACAUACACAAUGAACAUUCGAGGACUGAAUUUUAGUUGAAGUAACUGAGAUGAGUAAACAAAAAAUGCCAGAAGCUCACUGCCUCCUCCACCCCCACCACACCUGAUGCAGUCCAGAGGCAAAUUUCUUUGUUAAUCCACUUAUUUGUGUUAUUUUUAUGUAUUUAUACUUAUAGUACGUAGCAUAUCUAAGCUCAUGUCUGUCUUAGGAAUUGGAAUUUUAGCAGGCAGAGAGAUCAUCACCUUAACUCUGUGGUGUUCAAUCUUUUAGCUUCCCUGGGCCACAUCACAAGAAGAAAAAUUGUCUUGGGCCAUACAUAAAAUACACCAACACUAAUGAUAGCUGAUGAGCUAAAAAAAAAAAAACCUGUCAAAAAUAUCAUAAUUUUUUUCAUUGCUUGAGCAAUUUUUUUAUUAUUAUUAUACUUUAAGUUCUAGGGUACAUGUGCACAACGUGCAGGUUUGUUACAUAUGUAUACAUGUGCCAUGUUGGUGUGCUGCACCCAUUAACUUGUCAUUUACAUUAGGUAUAUCUCCUAAUGCUAUCCCUCCCCUCUCCACCCACCCCACGACAGGCCCCAGUGUGUGAUGUUCCCAAAAAUAUCAUAAUGGUUUAGGAAAGUUUACGAAUUUGUGCUGGGCUGCAUUCAAAGCCAUCCUGGGUUGCAUGUGGUCUGCAGGCCCCAGGUUGGACAAGCUUGCCUUAAAUGAAGUUUACAAAUAGUUACAAUUAUGUUUAGUGCUACAGAUUAGAAGUAUAUGCUAAUAUGUAAUUGAUAUGGUUUGGCUGUGUUCCCACCCACAUCUCACUUUGAAUUAUAAUAAUCCUCACAUGUCAAGGGUGGGGCCAGGUGGAGAUAAUUGAAUCAUGGAGGCAGUUUACCCCAUACUACUCCCGUGGUUGUGAAUAAGUCUCAUGAGAUCUGAUGGUUUUAUAAAUGACAGUUUCCCUGCACAAGCUCUCUUGCCUGCCGCCAUGUAAGAUAGGACUUUGCUCCUCAUUCAUCUUCAGCCAUGAUUGUGAGGCCUCCCCAGCCAUGUGAAACUGUGAGUCAAUUAAACCUCUU
ensembl:lncRNA SILC1 sciatic injury induced lincRNA upregulator of SOX11